rnacentral:rRNA from 1 species
GACGAACCGUGCGAACGUUGUUCGGAAUCACUGGGCUUAAAGGGCGCGUAGGCGGGCCGACAAGUCCGGGGUGAAAGCCCCCAGCUCAACUGGGGAAGCGCCUUGGAUACUUUUGGCCUGGAGGGAGGUAGGGGCGUGCGGAACUUCCGGUGGAGCGGUGAAAUGCGUAGAUAUCGGAAGGAACACCGGUGGCGAAAGCGGCGCGGCUGGACCUCUUCUGACGCUGAGGCGCGAAAGCUAGGGGAGCAAA